UACGUAGGAGGCAAGCGUUGUUCGGAAUUACUGGGCGUAAAGCGCACGUAGGCGGCUUGGUAAGUUAGAGGUGAAAGCCUGGAGCUCAACUCCAGAAUUGCCUUUAAGACUGCCGAGCUAGCAGGUGAGAGAGGUGAGUGGAAUUCCGAGUGUAGAGGUGAAAUUCGUAGAUAUUCGGAGGAACACCAGUGGCGAAGGCGGCUCACUGGCUCGAUACUGACGCUGAGGUGCGAAAGCGUGGGGAGCAAACAGG
rnacentral:rRNA from 1 species